rnacentral:pre_miRNA from 1 species
GCAGAUGUAGCAUCAUCAAGAUUCACAUGCAAAUGCAACAAGUGGAAGUGAGAUUAUUUUUGAAUGAUAGAUGCAACCUUCUAAUCAAAAUCUCUCUCUCUCUCUCUCUCUCUGUGGCCACUUGGUUUCUUUCGGAACUGAGAAUCUUGAUGAUGCUGCAUCAGC